rnacentral:rRNA from 1 species
AGUGAACGCUGGCGGUAGGCCUAACACAUGCAAGUCGAACGGCAGCACAGGAGAGCUUGCUCUCUGGGUGGCGAGUGGCGGACGGGUGAGGAAUACAUCGGAAUCUACUCUGUCGUGGGGGAUAACGUAGGGAAACUUACGCUAAUACCGCAUACGACCUACGGGUGAAAGCAGGGGACCUUCGGGCCUUGCGCGAUUGAAUGAGCCGAUGUCGGAUUAGCUAGUUGGCGGGGGAAAGGCCCACCAAGGCGACGAUCCGUAGCUGGUCUGAGAGGAUGAUCAGCCACACUGGAACUGAGAGACGGUCCAGACGCCUACGGGAGGCAGCAGUGGGGAAUAUUGGACAAUGGGCGCAAGCCUGAUCCAGCCAUACCGCGUGGGUGAAGAAGGCCUUCGGGUUGUAAAGCCCUUUUGUUGGGAAAGAAAUCCAGCCGGCUAAUACCCGGUUGGGAUGACGGUACCCAAAGAAUAAGCACCGGCUAACUUCGUGCCAGCAGCCGCCGUAA